UGGGGAAGGAGGAGGAAAAUGUGCUAGUGGCUUAGUUGCCAGCUGGCCUUAAAUCACAACAAAGAUGGUGUGUGAAGCUUCGGUUAAGGGCAAUAUUCACAGAAGACCUUAAUGAAAUCUGGAGUGAGGUCUGAGGCUUCCUUCUUUAUGAAUGGGAGUGACUAUUCAGCGGCACCCCACGGUCCAGCACCACAAAGCCACAGCGCCCAGCUGGCAACACCAACUAACUGUGGAACUAUUGAAUUUGCAUUUGCAACAUUCUUUUAAAAAGAAAGUGGAGAAACACUACUGCCCACAUUUUACUGAUGGAGAAUGAAGGCACAAUGAAAGCAACCUCCCAGGAGUGAAAAACAGGGAGAUUGGAGCAAUUCAAGAAUUCUGUUUCUGCAGGUUUAAUACCCAGGCAAAACAUCCUAAUGCGUGAGUUUGUUUGAACAGUCACACAGUUGAAAAUCUCCAGGAUAAGUGUUCUCAAAUAAGUUAACUGUGGAAAGUAGUAUCUAGAGGAGUUCGCUUUCACACUUUUCACAGAUACUUUUGAAAACAGCCUUAAACAAAUAAUGGAUAUUCUGCUAACAUCAGGACUACAUAAAGAGAGAGGUUGGUAAUACUGGCAUUUUUGCGAAUGUUCUAUAUACUCAAGGACCCGUCUAGUUACUUCUGGGAGCCCCAUAUAUUGUACAAGGCACAAACCAAUGGGAAUCUGAAAGCAAGCAGUUAUUCAGGUACAUGUAGAAUGAACAGAUGGUAAAAUGUUUGAAUACAGUGUUGUCAUAGGUUACCAAGCAUAGUCCCGGAAGGGAUGUCCUUGCUAAGGGGUGCUUACAGCUUCCUCUGGGACCUGAUAGAACCUAU